rnacentral:rRNA from 1 species
UACAGAGACUGCAAGCGUUAUUCGGAUUCACUGGGCGUAAAGGGUGCGCAGGCGGCCAAGUGUGUGAGGCGUGAAAGCCCGAAGCUUAACUUCGGAAUUGCACCUCAAACUACAUGGCUAGAGCAUUGGAGAGGGUAGCGGAAUUCCAGGUGUAGCGGUGAAAUGCGUAGAUAUCUGGAGGAACACCGGUGGCGAAGGCGGCAUCCUGGACCAACACUGACACUGAGGAGCGAAAGCCAGGGGAGCAAACGGG